rnacentral:rRNA from 1 species
AACGAACGCUGGCGGCGUGCUUAACACAUGCAAGUCGAACGCGAAAGGGGCUUCGGUCCUGAGUAGAGUGGCGCACGGGUGAGUAACGCGUAGAUAACCUGUCCUGGUGUCUGGAAUAACGUCUCGAAAGGGGCACUAAUACCGGAUAUUCUUGCUUUCUUCAAGGUAUGCAAGGAAAGGUGGCUUCUGGAACAAGCUACUGCACGAGGAGGGGUCUGCGUACCAUUAGCUAGUAGGUGGGGUAAUGGCCUACCUAGGCGACGAUGGUUAGCGGGUCUGAGAGGAUGAUCCGCCACACUGGCACUGGAAUACGGGCCAGACUCCUACGGGAGGCAGCAGUGAGGAAUAUUGCGCAAUGGGGGCAACCCUGACGCAGCGACGCCGCGUGAGUGAGGAAGGCCUUCGGGUCGUAAAGCUCUGUCAAGAGGGAAGAAGUGCAUGGUGGUUAAUAUCUGUCAUGUUUGACGGUACCUCUAAAGGAAGCACCGGCUAACUCCGUGCCAGCAGCCGCGGUAAAAC